AUGCCCUGCAGCCGACCGCUCCGGCGUCCUUCCACACGGGCGAGCAGAGGCACCCACGCCGCCACCUCUUCCUCUCCUUCUCCUGGAGCGCGUGGACCUCGACGGAGUUACCACCAUCGCGUCAUCGAUCUGGCUGAUGCCUCACCUGUGGCACGAUCUGAUCUGGGAGAGAUGGUGAGGGGUGGGGGCGGUGGAGGUAGGGGAGAGGGAAAGGGUGAUCCGGUGCAGGACUACCACGCUGUAGACUCGAGGCGCCCAACCCCGGCUACCUCAACGACCCCGCCUCCUUAAUGACGACCUACACCAUCUUCCUGCUGCCUAUAAGCGAGGAGACCGCCACCUCUCAGUGACUUCCCAUGCUCCUGCAAAAAUUCCUCUUCAGAUAGUGGAGUGGCAUCUCUCCCAUAGUCUUCAACAUCCGUGUCCUCACAGAUCCGUUCUCUUUUUCAUGAAGUGCCUGGGGGCUUUGGCCACAUGAAAACUUUCAUUUGAAAUAUAGAAGAUAAAAAUCAGUGAUUUUGAUGUCAUACCACUCAUCUUUCGGCACUGUACGGACAAACUUUGAGAUCUUUACUGCCAUCCCAACAGAUGAAGACAUGGAUUACAUAUUAAAAGUUCAUCAGUGUUCUGUCGUUUAAGACCAUGUGUGGGUAUACCAUUGACAACCAAUGAUUUCUUUAUGCUUGAAAAAUACUUCAUCGCUGCACUAUGAUGGUAAGAUAUGUUUUGUUUUCCUCUAAGGAAACUUCAUAGUUCCAACACUGUUUUAUUUUUGCAGCAUUGUAGAGUUCUUUUGAACGUAUAGGAUUCCAAAUCAUAUUCAGAUUUUUCAUUCGCAAUGCUUUCUUAAUUCCCAUUAACCUGGCCUUCAUGGUAAUCAUUGCCACCUAAAUCUAGCAAAUAAUCACCGGUUAUUUAUGGUUCAAUAUUUAUGCAUCACCAGUUGUAAAGGGUUCAGUAUAUCAGUUAAUAGAACUUUGUUGCUAUAUUCAUAUGUACAUUUCUAUCAAAUGUACAUGAUUUAAUUUUUGUUGGUGGUGUAUACUCAUUGGAUUAUUCCAUUUUUUUGUCAAUUUGAUUGUGGGAAUGACCCAAAUUUGCCAAAGGAGUAGUGAAGUGGGUGCUAAAAUCUUCAUCUUUCGGUUGCUUUAAAAAUGAUUUGGCAUCUCCAAGUAAUGUUUCCUUAUUGUGAGUAACAUGGGGAAAGUCUUCAUACUGUAGAGAACCACGACAUUGAGGGCGUUCUCCUUUGCGAUUAGGCCAUCCCAAAUCUAGGUGCCAUCAGCUUUGUGAUCAUAUUUAUUACUCUCACUUACAAUUUUGUUGCCUUUCACUUGUGGUCUGGCAAGGGAUCUUUUAUGUACCGUCUCAUGGCAGUAUUUUUUUCUAAUUGUAUAAUUCAUCUAUGCUGAGCAUAAAUGCAAAAAAUAAAAAGCGGACUAUGUUCUUGCCCUAUUCUGCUACUUGAUGCAUCUGUCUUUUUUCCUCCCAUGUCAUGAUUUCAUCUGACCAAUCUUUUUGUUUUGAAUAGUAAUAUAUAUAUUGCUAUUUUGUAUAACUACUAGCUUCCUUAUUGACAUCUAUUGUUACUAAUCCAGCACGGCUCCUGGGAUCUUUAAUUCCAUUUCAAUUUUCUUUGGAAAUCUUCUGCCAGCUCAAGUGCUCAUGUCAAGGAAUAUAGUUGUAUUUUACUUGGAUUUUUCAUUUGCCUUGCAAUGCUAAUGGAGAAAAGGCAACCAAAUUAUUGGAGGGAUAGCGAUUGUUAAAGAAUAGAUAAACAAACUAUUUGCCAUGGAAAUUACUAUUCGGAGACCUGGUGCAUUUGGAAAGUAUGUAAGGAUCAAGUCUUUGAUAAUGUACUUCCAAACUUUGGUUGGUGCUCAAUUCCUAUUGUUAGCACCUACACAUAGAACUAUACUGGACAGUGUAAUGAAAAUUGCUCUUUCCCUUGAACUCAUAACAUUAUUCCA